rnacentral:rRNA from 1 species
AGAUUGAACGCUGGCGGCAGGCCUAACACAUGCAAGUCGAGCGGUAGAGAGGUGCUUGCACCUCUUGAGAGCGGCGGACGGGUGAGUAAUGCCGUAGGAAUCUG